rnacentral:rRNA from 1 species
GAGUUGAUCCUGGCUCAGAUUGAACGCUGGCGGCAUGCUUUACACAUGCAAGUCGAACGGCAGCGGGGGCUUCGGCCCGCCGGCGAGUGGCGAACGGGUGAGUAAUGCAUCGGAACGUGCCCAGUCGUCGGGGGAUAACUACGCGAAAGCGUAGCUAAUACCGCAUACGUCCUGAGGGAGAAAGCGGGGGAUCUUCGGACCUCGCGCGAUUGGAGCGGCCGAUGUCGGAUUAGCUAGUUGGUGGGGUAAAGGCUCACCAAGGCGACGAUCCGUAGCUGGUCUGAGAGGAUGAUCAGCCACACUGGGACUGAGACACGGCCCAGACUCCGUACGGGAGGCAGCAGUGGGGAAUUUUGGACAAUGGGGGAAACCCUGAUCCAGCCAUGCCGCGUGAGUGAAGAAGGCCUUCGGGUUGUAAAGCUCUUUCGGACGGAAAGAAAUCGCUUCGGCCAAUACCCGGAGUGGAUGACGGUACCGUAAGAAGAAGCACCGGCUAACUACGUG